GCUCGUUUGGUUGACCCCAUUCCGCGAGGGUUCCCUGGCUUUUCCCCCGCCGGAUAAUCCCCGGGCGGAAUUACCCUGGGUGGAACUCCCUGACCGUUUGGACAGCCAGCAGCCCGCCGAUCCGCGUCCGUUCCGCGUCGAACCCGGGGAACCCGUUCCACCACGAGCGAGGCGCGGAACAGAAUCCGCGAGGCGACGCGAGAGGCGACUCCAAGGGCGACGGCGACGGCGACAGAACCACCGCACCUCCCAUCCCCUUCCCACCUUCGGCGACCGGACCCAAGCCCCGCCCCGCCCCUCCCCACCUCUGGCACCUCCCCUCUCCAACCUCAUCCUCGAAACCGAGUCUGUCUCGUCUCGCGACGGAGAAGGCGACAGGCAGAGAUGCGACGCCUCCAACAUUCUUCCUCCACCGGCGACCGGAGCAGGGGCCUACCGAGUGCAUCGCCUCCAAGUCCCUCUCCUCUCCCGGAUUUUCCCUCUCCGGCGGCGGUUGUCCGAAGAUCUGCUCCGCCUAGAUCCCUGUCCCUCCAGCGACAAGGACGGUCGGCGGUCCCGAUAUUCAGAUCUACCCGUCCUCUUGCUCUCUUAUUUGAGGUCAGCUUCACUGAUAUUCAUUUUGGUUGCAGGCGACGGAUCCUGGAGUACACGAAGUCUUGGAGGAAAUGAACGACGCUUGGGCAAUUUGCUCUCUUCCACUUCCCUACUGUAUUGGUUUCUUUGAUACGAAAUCUUGCAUCUGUUGUUCAGCUAGUGAGUAGAGAAGCAACAUUCUGGUUGGUAGCUUUAACGACUGUUACAAUUUUAAUGCUUGAUUUUUGAGCCAUCAAUGAAAGGAAUCGUGGAUGAUAUAUGCGAAAUAGCAGCGGCAAGGCUGAGAUCAUCAGGACAAUGCAUUGUUUUCUAGGGUACUCAAGUUUAAUUGAUGGAUUUUAUUCUAUCUGGUUUGGUGAAAUUUAGAUUAACACCGGGUUCAUAACUUCGUGUACUGGAGCAGUAAUUUCGUUAAUGGUUAGGCUUACGUGAGCUUAAUUAAAUCCCUGCCAUGGAAAAACAUAAGGUGUGCCGUGUAUUGUUCCUCCUCCUCAACUAGUUGUCUACUUAGUUCUAUCUUCUUUUCUAGUAGUUGAUAAGCCAGUUGCUGUUCUUGGUACACACAAGGGUACCAUGGUUUCUGCUCUAACAGAUGGCUCUUUUAGGUACCUCAGCAAGGAGUAGAUCGAGCGAGGGUCGCCAUCGAGGCAGGACGACGUGGGCGCCGGCAAGGAGGCCCAGCUCCGGGCCACCUACUGCUCCUUCAUCCGCGACGUCGGCCUCUACACCCUUUCGUUCGCCCAAUCUCUGAAUUCCGCUCGAGUUAGUUCUCGACUUCCUACUCCUGCCCUGCGUCGUCCUCAGGCCCAACGAGAACAGGUUCAAGAAGACGUCCGAGUACUGCUUCGACGCCGACGGCAACAAGGUCAAGGUCAUCAGCACCACCCGCGUCCGCAAGCUCGCCCGCGCACGCCUCUCCAAGGCGGCCUUCGAGCGCCACAACUGGUCCAAGUUCGGUGGCAACGCCUCCACGCGGCUCACCGUCGUCUCCUCGGUGCCCACGCGCCCUAGGAGGAUGGGCGGAGGGUGCGCGCUCGAGGAAAAGCGUCCAUGUCAUCGGCCAUGGCGGGCAUGCUCCCCACGGACGAGGUGCAUUGGAUGUGGUCACGGAAAAGGGUGGGAGAAAGCGGAGGAAGAGAGUGUGAGCUCACCGUGGUCGAUCGGCAAGCUUGGAAGAGAGUGUGAGCUUCGGUGCUCUGGCGGCGUGGUCGAUGAGGAAGAGACUUGGUGGGCGAGCUCCCGCUAGGGAUGAACAGGAGCGUGGCGACGAGGUUGAAGCAGGAACGGAAGCGGCACAACCUUGCUUCCCUGCUCAGGUAGUAGCCCUCUAUCGGCGCGGCCUUGCUCGAGCCCCUCAUCGGCGAGCGGAGCAGCCGUAGGAGGGAGCUCCGCACGCGUGAUGCUUAAUUUUCUUUUAUUUUCUAAACAUUUGCAGGAUCCUCGAAUUCUGCAAAAUUUGUUUGUGGCUUCUGAGGUGUACGCUAUUAUGUUUAUUUCUGGUGUCAAACAUAAAUAUAUGAUGUUCUAAAUAUAUGAUGUCGUGGCGGCUAUUUACUAUUA